rnacentral:rRNA from 1 species
UGCGCAGGCGGCCAUGUGUGUCAGGUGUGAAAUACCGGGGCUUAAACCCCGGAACUGCGCCUGAAACUACAUGGCUAGAGUACUGGAGAGGGUAGUGGAAUUCACGGUGUAGCAGUGAAAUGCGUAGAUAUCGUGAGGAACACCAGAGGCGAAGGCGACUACCUGGACAGUUACUGACGCUCAGGCACGAAAGCGUGGGGAGCCAAAGGGAUUAGAUACCCCUGUAGUCCACGCCCUAAACGGUGCACACUAGGUCUUGGCGGAUUCGACCCCGCCAGGGCCCAAGCUAACGCGUUAAGUGUGCCGCCUGAGGGCUACGGCCGCAAGGCUAAA